GAUGAACGCUAGCUACAGGCUUAACACAUUGCAAGUUCGAGGGGCAGCAUGGUCUUAGCUUUGCUAAGGCCGAUGGCGACCGGCGCACGGGUGAGUAACACGUAUCCAACCUGCCGUCUACUCUUGGACAGCCUUCUGAAAGGAAGAUUAAUACAAGAUGGCAUCAUGAGUCCGCAUGUUCACAUGAUUAAAGGUAUUCCGGUAGACGAUGGGGAUGCGUUCCAUUAGAUAGUAGGCGGGGUAACGGCCCACCUAGUCUUCGAUGGAUAGGGGUUCUGAGAGGAAGGUCCCCCACAUUGGAACUGAGACACGGUCCAAACUCCUACGGGAGGCAGCAGUGAGGAAUAUUGGUCAAUGGGCGAGAGCCUGAACCAGCCAAGUAGCGUGAAGGAUGACUGCCCUAUGGGUUGUAAACUUCUUUUAUAAAGGAAUAAAGUCGGGUAUGGAUACCCGUUUGCAUGUACUUUAUGAAUAAGGAUCGGCUAACUCCGUGCCAGCAGCCGCGGUAAUACGGAGGAUCCGAGCGUUAUCCGGAUUUAUUGGGUUUAAAGGGAGCGUAGAUGGAUGUUUAAGUCAGUUGUGAAAGUUUGCGGCUCAACCGUAAAAUUGCAGUUGAUACUGGAUAUCUUGAGUGCAGUUGAGGCAGGCGGAAUUCGUGGUGUAGCGGUGAAAUGCUUAGAUAUCACGAAGAACUCCGAUUGCGAAGGCAGCCUGCUAAGCUGCAACUGACAUUGAGGCUCGAAAGUGUGGGUAUCAAACAGGAUUAGAUACCCUGGUAGUCCACACGGUAAACGAUGAAUACUCGCUGUUUGCGAUAUACUGCAAGCGGCCAAGCGAAAGCGUUAAGUAUUCCACCUGGGGAGUACGCCGGCAACGGUGAAACUCAAAGGAAUUGACGGGGGCCCGCACAAGCGGAGGAACAUGUGGUUUAAUUCGAUGAUACGCGAGGAACCUUACCCGGGCUUAAAUUGCAGAUGAAUUACGGUGAAAGCCGUAAGCCGCAAGGCAUCUGUGAAGGUGCUGCAUGGUUGUCGUCAGCUCGUGCCGUGAGGUGUCGGCUUAAGUGCCAUAACGAGCGCAACCCUUGUUGUCAGUUACUAACAGGUUCCGCUGAGGACUCUGACAAGACUGCCAUCGUAAGAUGUGAGGAAGGUGGGGAUGACGUCAAAUCAGCACGGCCCUUACGUCCGGGGCUACACACGUGUUACAAUGGGGGGGUACAGAGGGCCGCUACCACGCGAGUGGAUGCCAAUCCCCAAAACCUCUCUCAGUUCGGACUGGAGUCUGCAACCCGACUCCACGAAGCUGGAUUCGCUAGUAAUCGCGCAUCAGCCACGGCGCGGUGAAUACGUUCCCGGGCCU
rnacentral:rRNA from 1 species